rnacentral:rRNA from 1 species
UCAGAUGAAUUAAAGGCAACUGCUGCUGGUGAUGACGACUGUGCCUCAGGGUCUGCUAAAAGGAAGAGAAAGAACCAGUUCAGGGGCAUCUGCGGCCACCCUUCGGGUAAAUGGGCUGCUGAAAUAAGAGAUCCUCGCAAGGGUGUCCGUUUCUGGCUUGGCACUUACAACUCUACUGAGGAAGCUGCUAGAGCUUAUGAUGUGGAAGCUAGCAGAAUUUGUGGCAAGAAGGCAAUCAAUUUCCCAGAUGAAGCUCCUAUGGCUUCUCAGCAAUGUUGUGUUGAGCCUACCUCUAUAAAGGUGUAUGAGUUCAACACCGAACAGUAGCCGGUGCUCAACACCUUGGGUAACGCAGAUGUGUAUUCCUGCCCUGCUGUUGACUACACCUUGACUCAGCAAUUUGUGCAGCCUCAGAACAUGUCGUUUGUGUGUACAGUGAAUGCAGUUGAGGCCCCUUUCAUGAUUUUUUCCUAUGACCAGGGGAGCAACUCCUUUAGUUGCUCAUACUUCUGCUGGGAGAAUGAUAUCAAGACCCCUGACAUAACAUAUGUGCUUGCAUCCAUUCCCACCUCAACAGAGGUCAAUGAAUUUGCAUUUCUCCAGAACAACAGCGUUAAUUCAACAGUACCUCCUGUGAUGGGUGAUGCUAAUGUUUAUCUUGCCAACUUGGAACCAUACAUGUAGUUCCUAAUGGAUGAUGGUUCAGAUGAGUCAAUUGACAGAAUUCUAAGUUGCGAUAACGUGGUCGGAAACAUGGGCCUUUGGACCUUUGAUGACAUGCCCUUGUCUGCUGGUUUCUACUGA